ACUCUUUCCUUCAGUCAGCAUUAGGGUUUUAAACCCUUAACUGAACUUUUCCCUUUAAUCAGGAUUAGGGUUUUAAACCCUAAACUGAACUUUUCCCUUUAAUCAGGAUUAGGGUUUUAAACCCUAAACUGAACUUUUUCCCUUUAGUCAGCAUUAGGGUUUUAAACCCUAAACUGAACUUUUUCCCUUUAGUCAGCAUUAGGGUUUUAAACCCUAAACCGAACUUUUCCCAUUUAGUCAGCAUUAGGGUUUUAAACCCUAAACUGAACUUUUCCUUUAGUCAGCAUUAGGGCUUUAAACCCUAAACUGAACUUUCCCAUUCAGUAAGCAUUAUGGUUUUAAACCCUAAACUGAACUUUUUCCUUUUAGUCACCAUUAGGGUUUUAAACCCUAAACUGAACUCUUUCCUUCAGUCGGCAUUAGGAUUUUAAACCCUACACUGAAUUUUUCCCAUUUAGUCAGCAUUAGGGUUUUUAACCCUAAACUGAACUGUUUCCUUUUAGUCAGCAUUAGGGUUUUAAACCCUAAACUGAACUCUUUCCUUCAGUCAGUAUUAGGGUUUUAAACCCUACACUGAAUUUUUCCCAUUUAGUCAGCAUUAGGGUUUUAAACCCUGAACUGAACUCUUUCCUUCAGUCAGCAUUAGGG
rnacentral:lncRNA from 1 species